GAACGGUAGUUCAGUUGGUUAGAAUACCUGCCUGUCGCAGGGGUCGCGGGUUCGAGUCCCGUCCGUUCCG
rnacentral:tRNA from 1 species